UCCGGUUGAUCCUGCCGGAGCCUACUGCUAUCGGUUUAGGACUAAGACAUGCAAGUUCAGCGACUCAGCAAGAGUUGCAGCGAACCGCUCAGUAACGAGUAGUCAACCUACCCCAUGGAGGAGGACAACUGCGGGAAACUGCAGUUAAUCCCCCAUAAACGAGGCACGCUGGAAUGCUGUCUCGCUAAAAAGGGUCAAUCUUAUGCUGAUUGAUACCGCCAUGGGACGGGACUGCUUCCGAUCAGGUAGUAGGUGGGGUAAUGGCCCACCUAGCCUCAGACCGGUACGGGCCGUGAGAGCGAUAGCCCGGAGAUGGAUACUGAGACAACGAUCCAGGCCCUACGGGGUGCAGCAGUCGCGAAACCUGGCCAAUGAGCSCAAGCUGGAGCCGGUUAAACCGAGUGGGGUCCUAACGGGUCCCUUUUAACGAGUGUUAGUAGCUCGUUGAAUAAGGAGAGGGCAAGACUGGUGCCAGCCGCCGCGGUAAAACCAGCUCUUCGAGUGGUGGGCGUGCUUACUGGGCCUAAAGCAUCCGUAGCCGGGUCUUCAAGUCCACAGUUAAAGCCCACGUCUUAAGCGUGGAAUCGCUGUGGAUACUACAGACCUUGGGAUCGGGAGAGGCGUGAGGUACGUUUCGGGUAGGGGUGAAAUCCGAUAAUCCGAAACGGACCACCGGUGGCGAAGGCGUCACGCUAGAACGAGUCCGACGGUCAGGGAUGAAAGCCAGGGGAGCGAGCCGGAUUAGAUACCCGGGUAGUCCUGGCUGUAAACGAUGCCCGCUAAGUGUUGCGCAUGGCACGACUAUGCGCAGUGCCGAAGGGAAGCCGCUAAGCGGGCCGCCUGGGGAGUACGGUCGCAAGACUGAAACUUAAAGGAAUUGGCGGGGGAGCAC
rnacentral:rRNA from 1 species